rnacentral:rRNA from 1 species
CAGCCGCCGCGGGAAUACGAAGGGUGCAAGCGUUACUCGGAAUUACUGGGCGUAAAGCGUGCGUAGGUGGUGGUUUAAGUCCGUUGUGAAAGCCCUGGGCUCAACCUGGGAAUUGCAGUGGAUACUGGGUCACUAGAGUGUGGUAGAGGAUAGUGGAAUUUCCGGUGUAGCAGUGAAAUGCGUAGAGAUCGGAAGGAACAUCUGUGGCGAAGGCGACUAUCUGGGCCAACACUGACGCUGAGGUACGAAAGCAUGGGGAGCAAACAGGAUUAGAUACCCCCGUAGUCCCUGUCUCUUAUAC